rnacentral:rRNA from 1 species
CCUACGGGAGGCAGCAGUGGGGAAUUUUGGACAAUGGGCGCAAGCCUGAUCCAGCAAUGCCGCGUGCAGGAUGAAGGCCUUCGGGUUGUAAACUGCUUUUGUACGGAACGAAAAGGCUCUGGCUAAUACCUGGGGCUGAUGACGGUACCGUAAGAAUAAGCACCGGCUAACUACGUGCCAGCAGCCGCGGUAAUACGUAGGGUGCGAGCGUUAAUCGGAAUUACUGGGCGUAAAGCGUGCGCAGGCGGUUUUGUAAGACAGGUGUAAAAUCCCCGGGCUUAACCUGGGAACUGCACUUGGGACUGCAAGGCUGGAGUACGGCAGAGGGGGAUGAAAUUCCUGGUGUAGCGGUGAAAUGCGUAGAUAUCAGGAAGAACACCGGUUGCGAGGGCGGUCCCCGGGCCCGUUAC